rnacentral:rRNA from 1 species
UUGCUGACGAGUGGCGGACGGGUGAGUAAUGCUUGGGAAUCUGGCUUAUGGAGGGGGAUAACGACGGGAAACUGUCGCUAAUACCGCGUAGAAUCGGAAGAUGAAAGUGCGGGACCACAAGGCCGCAUGCCAUGAGAUGAGCCCAAGUGGGAUUAGGAAGUUGGUGGGGUAAAGGCCUACCAAGGCUGCGAUCUCUAGCUGGUCUGAGAGGAUGGCCAGCCACACUGGAACUGAGACACGGUCCAGACUCC